GACGAACGCUGGCGGCGUGCUUAACACAUGCAAGUCGAGCGGUAAGGCCCUUUCGGGGGUACACGAGCGGCGAACGGGUGAGUAACACGUGGGUGACCUGCCCUCAGCUCUGGGAUAAGCCUGGGAAACCGGGUCUAAUACUGGAUAUGACUCCAUGACGCAUGUUGUGGGGUGGAAAGCCUUGUGCGGCUGAGGAUGGGCCCGCGGCCUAUCAGCUUGUUGGUGGGGNGAUGGCCUACCAAGGCGACGACGGGUAGCCGGCCUGAGAGGGCGACCGGCCACACUGGGACUGAGACACGGCCCAGACUCCUACGGGAGGCAGCAGUGGGGAAUCUUGCGCAAUGGGCGAAAGCCUGACGCAGCGACGCCG
rnacentral:rRNA from 1 species